rnacentral:rRNA from 1 species
AGCGAACGCUGGCGGCAGGCUUAACACAUGCAAGUCGAGCGGGCAUCCUCGUGGUGUCAGCGGCAGACGGGUGAGUAACGCGUGGGAACGUGCCCUUCGGUUCGGAAUAACUCAGGGAAACUUGAGCUAAUACCGGAUACGCCCUUUUGGGGAAAGGUUUAUCUGCCGAAGGAUCGGCCCGCGUCUGAUUAGCUGGUUGGUGAGGUUACGGCUCACCAAGGCGACGAUCAGUAGCUGGUCUGAGAGGAUGAUCAGCCACACUGGGACUGAGACACGGGCCAGGCUCCUACGGGAGGCAGCAGUGGGGAAUAUUUGACAAUGGGGGCAACCCUGAUCCAGCCAUGCAGCGUGUGUGAUGACGGCCUUAGGGUUGUAAAGCUCUUUUCUCCGGGACGAUAAUGACGGUACCGGAGGAAUAAGCCCCGGCUAACUUCGUGCCAGCCGCCGCAGUAA